AAGAGGGAGCAGAAGGUGGGGGAGGCGCGCGGGGGGCGCCGGCGCGAGCGCGCGUGGAGGCGGCACUCUACGAGGCGGCCGUCGGGCGGCCGGCCCGCGGGGCCAGCGGCCUGGCGCCGCGGAGGGUCCCGCCAUCGGACGCCUGAGGCGCCGGCUGCCCGCCACGAGGGAGAGGGCCGAGCUCCGGGCGCCAGGAACGUGGGCUUGCGGAUUCUUUUGGUUGUAAGUGACAGAAAGGCAGCUCAAAGUGACUCUCACAAAUGAGGACAUAUAUUGGCUCAUGAGACUGCUAAGUCUCAAGCCUCAUCAUCUCUUUUUCGCCUUGCUCUGGACCAGCAUGGUGCCAAGCAUCCUGCACCCUACUGAUGUUAACAACAGGGCCCUAGGACUGACCUUCACCCACCCGAACUCCGUCAGGGGCCAAUAGUGGCAGGAGCCCCUGCUGACCCAAGGAAAGGUGGAGAUUGGCAGCAGCAACGGGAGAGGGAGUGUCACCUCACUACCUGGGGAGAAUUCCCAUGCACUUUCUGCUCCCAGAAGACACAAGACAGGACAGGAGCUUCCAAAAGGUGGCCCACUUCACCUUCGGGAAGCUCCUGCGGUACUUUCCUGGGCUGCUCCCCCUGUGGUCGCCCUGCUCCUCUUCAGGGAUGAAACACACAUUCAGUGACCAACUUGGAACCCAGCCUGCCUUCUAGCACCUUCAGACCUGGGCCUAUACCCUUCAUCUAGCAGCUGGGCAGGAGGCUGGACACCUGGAACAGAAGCCAGCAGUGAGAAGAAGGCCAUUGGAAACCCUGCAGAGAGUGAGAAUGAACACACAUCUCACCUUGCACUUCACAGCUCAGGGCAGGACUACCUGGGCGUGGAGGACAGUCAGGGCCUGCCUCUGUCUGCUGUGCAACUCUGGCCUCCAGGGACAUGCACCCACAGCAUGGGUGGCGAGGUGGAGGGGUUGUGUACCAAGAGGUGGUUGAAGACAUUUCUGGAUGGGCCAGAAGGAGUUCUGCUCUUCAGAAUCUGGAGUUGGAGGACGACCAACUGAGCGUGUCCCCACGGGUCCUUCCACACCGGAGACAGCAGAGCUGUACCUGCCGUCACCAGCUUUUCCUGCCGGGGGUGUGAGGAGGCAGAGCCUGCUGGGUGACUCCAAAGAGUGCCGAGGGCCUCUGCCGGACAGUCUCAAGGCUGACUCUUCUCUCCAGAGACCCGGGCCUCCCAGUACUUUCAGGCUUACGUGUCUUCUGGCCACUUUUGGUCACGACAGCAGCUUCACCUCGGUCUUGCUAAGUUGCCCCCGCUGGGCUGGAACUUGCGGUCCUCCUGCUUCGGCCUCCUGCAUUGCUGGGAUCUUAGGUGUGCGCCAACGUGCCCAGCUACAGAGGUCGUUGGCAGUGUGGUUCUGACAUUCACCCUCUCCAGCCUGGCACUCCAGUUCUCUCCGGAAACAACUGUCACUGACUGCCAACCCACUCACAAUCAUGUCAUCACCAGAGUCACGUGUCAUGACAAAACCUACAAAAACAUCAUGAGCACCGAGAGUAUGCACAGCCUGCCCUGCCCAGAAAAGGAAGGAGAGGAGAGGGAGGGCAGGAAAGGGGAGGGGACAGCUGGGUUCCGCGUGGAACACUCAGGCACGGAGUUUGCCUUGGUCUGAUGUCUUGGGGGCGGCAUGGGACAGGCCGGCUUCCCCACUCCCUGACGGUGCAGUGGGCGUCCACCGGGCAGCAGGCAGGGAGAUGCAGGGAAAGGCACCCAGGUGGGACACAGGGACUGCCCUGUUGGCAGGUGAUGCAGAUGUCUACAUAGAAACUCUAGCUGUUACUAAAAGAUCCAGCACUAACAAGCGAACCCAGCAAGGCGGGGUACAAGAUCGACGUGUAGAAAUAAACUCUUUCUAUACACUUGCAAUUAAUAAUCUGAAAUCAAAAUUAAAGAAAUUCCAUUUGCAGCAGCAUCCGAAGCACUUAUAAUAAAUUUAACAAGAAGGACAAAACUUACACUCUGAACAGUACAAAACUUUGUUGAGAAAAAUUAAAGACCUGAGUAAAUGGAGAGGUGCCCUGGGACCUGCGGACCUGAAGCCCCGGCGCUGCGAGCCACCGAGUCAGGCUGCCCUCGGUCCACCUGCCCCUGCCUGGUCCACGACCGAAGGCUGACGUCACCACUGCAGAACUGUUGCGUCAACCAGUCCAAAUUCUGUCCUGUAGCCUUCCGCCGCUGGCCUUGUAGUGUUUAAAAGGUGCCCUUCUGCUGCUUAAAAGGUGCCAGGCAGCGACCUCCGCCAGCCGCUCGCCCUGCGCUGACACUGCGCGCUACAAGCCCAGGCAGGGCCUGUUCCAAGGCCCUGGUGCCCACGGGGACAUGUCUCAGCCGGGCGCUGAGGGCGGCGCCUCAGAGAGGAAACCCAAGAGCCGUGUGGCCUUCAGGUGCCGAGGAUCAGAAUGGGAAAGUCCGGGCUUCGCAACACUGGAGCAGACUUUCUCAAGUGCAAUGUUUUGACUAUAUGCACAGAUCAAUAACAACUAGUCAUUAACUUUAUCCUUUCAGGUCGGAAAAACGUUCACUAAACUGUUACAAAGGAAUGAUGUGUGUUCAUCUUGGACUAUUUGAUUUUAAUAUAUGCGUAUCCCAUGCAUCCUCAUUUUGCACCAGUUUAGUGAUAGAUUAUUUUUUAAGUUAUAUAUACAUAAUUUUAAGAAAUUAGUAUAAUGGUUGCAUCCACUUUUUAAAAAAAUUGACAUAAAAUUUAUGACAAGUAUGUGAUGAAAUAUGAUAUACUGAAAUUCAUGUGAAAAUUCAAGGAUUCAGAAUGGCCAGAACAGUCUCGAAAAAGAAAACCAAAUCUGGAGGACUCGCGCUGCCCAAUUUCAAACCUCCAACAAAGCUACUCAAAGCUGAGGAACAGAAUGUUCUCUGAUAAGUGGAUGCUGACGCAUAAUGGGGAGGGGACGGGAGGAGUGGAGGAAGGCUGGACUGUAGAGGGGAGCGAGGGGCGGCGAGGCAGACGGCGGACUGUGCAUGUACGACUGCACAAGUGGCUACGUCCUGCACAACCAGGGAAACCAAGAGUGGUGCUCCGUUUGUGUACGAUGACUCGAAACGCAUUCUGCUGUCAUGUAUUGCCAAGCAGAAAGAACAAUAAAAAAAUAAAAAGCUGAAGGACAAGACGGAUCAGUGGGAGAGAAUCGAGAGUCUGGAAAUAAACUGACAUUUUGUGAUGGGUUGAUGUUUUCAGAGAUGCCCAAGUAGUUCCACAGGGUUUUACACAGCUGCUGGACAGCGGGGCCGGGUCCAGAACGACACAGGGCCACCGACUUCAUACCACAUGCAAAACUAACCAGAAGUCAAUGGAGGAUCUAAAGGUAAGAACUAAAUCCAGGAAACUCUUGAAAGGAAACUAGGCAGGAACCUCAUGACGACAGAUGAGGCAAAGGUCUCUUACCUGUGACAUCAAAAGAAAAAGCGACAAGAGGAAGAACAGGCACACCUGCUUCCCAAUCAGACCCGUGAACCUCAAAGGGCGCGUCUCAAGGAGAAAGACGGCCAGACGGGUGAAAACAUGGCAGGCCACGUCUAGUAAGGUCUGGCCUGCCCAGAACGCGGACGGGAUUCUUAGAACUCAAUGAAGAGGCGACUCUCCCGGUUAAAAGUGGCCAAAGAAUCUGCAGACAUGUCCCUGAAAAGACACCAAGGGGCUGCACAGCACCUGCACUGGGGACAGCUCGCUGCACACCUGGCAGGUGCGAGAAAUACGCUGAAGGGAUAGCACACCGUGUGUACGCUGACGUGGUGCACCUCUCCAUUUUGCACUAUACCCCUCUGUGGGGAGUCUAAGUGAAGCUCAGGCUUUCAUCACAGGGAAGCCAAAUACCACAGGGCAGAAGAAGCCAGGGGACUUUAGCACAAAGCACUAUUCUUGGAAUGCUGGCACAAGGUAUGGAAUCCUGAUUUUUAAUUUUUAUUUCUAAAAUUGCCUAUCUCCCAAUUAAACACACAACCAAUUUCUUUCUAUGAUUUCAGUGUUAGUAUGUUCAGGGUCAGUUUUGAGCCUACAGUUGUGACAUUUGUGACAGAUGAAGGGUCAGUAUUAAUGUGGUUCUUCAUCAAGCAUUCAGUAAUAGUGACUGAGAGCAUUAAAUAUGAUUUGAGGCUCGCUCUUUCCUAAUGUAAGAUGAUAGGUGUGGGAAUGUAUAACCACCUACCUGUUUGUUGCCUUCUUGAUCCUUACGUGUUUGGAAUUAGAAUAAGUUCAUUAUGAAAUGAAGACAACAUUUGGACAUAAAUUUAUUUUAACCAAUGAAGUGGGGCUUCUGUUUUAAAUUGUAAAAUAUUUAAUACCUUAUUUUUAGGCUUGAUGUGUACAUCAGACAACAGUUUAUAGCUUGUAAAACACAGUACUGAACUCACUUGUCUUUUUCAGUUACUUUAAAAAGAAAUUAAAUUAGGAGAGCAUUUUUUGUGUUAUAAGCAAAUGAAAAUAUAAAGGUUAAAUUACAAGAAGUAUAUUGGGGCUCAGGGUGUUGCUUGGUGGUAGAGCACGUACUUUAGAAAAAAGUAUGAAUCUGUUGGUAGAUGUUAGAAUCCUAACAUAUCAGAGACAGAAAGAGAUCUUCAGGGCUGGUUAUGGGGUGCACAGCUGCAUCCCAUCUUUUCAAGAGGCUCAGGCAUGGUUGCAGGUUUAGGACAGCCUGGGCAACUUAGUGAAACUCUGUCUCAGCUUUUUAAUAAAAAGCUGGGGGUGUAGCUCAAUGGUAGAGUGCCCGAGGUUCAAUCCCCAGUACUGUGGGUGGGGGUUAUGGGAGAGUGAAAGGAGAGUGCCAAGAGAGAAUGCACAUGCACCUUUCUUUCUAUAAUCACAUAUUAAAAGGAAAUAAACUCACCCAGUCAUGGACCCAAAAUCCGCCUCCGACGCCUGCAUUGGCAUGAUUCAUACCAACAACCC